ACAAAAAUUCACUGCUGCAUUUUAAAACAGGCUUCAAAAGGUUCCAAGUGUUCACCUCCGUGUCAGACUCUCACAGUAGCCCUCUAAACCAAAUUAUUUUAUUUACAAUAUUUAAAAUUUAUUUAGAAAUUUUAUAUUGCCGCCUACUCGCACAUGGCAACUCAAGACAGCUUUACAAGGAUAUAAAAACACCAUAUAAAAAUAAAAUCACCCAUCCCAUUCCAACAACAACACACAUUCAAUACUAACCAUUUAAUGGGCUCCAUCCCACUCUGGGUUCCCCCGGCCCCAUUGUGUUGGGAAAUCAAAGGUAAUGAGGAAAGGAUAAUUUAGUUGUUGGAAAAAAAACAUCUCAAGACCAUAAAAUUUGGUCUUCCCCAAUGUCUCCAUUCAACCUAUAGAAUCAUGGCUGGGUUCACCCGUUCCGCUAGGCCAAACACAGCCAGGAAGCCACGCUUUCCUAAGGCUGCAUAACGCGGAAAUUGGAUCGCUGUGAUCAACAAACCAGAAUUGGAACCAUGCCUGUCUUUCUGUGAGCUCACCCCCGUGUCAGUUUCUGACAUGCUAGAACAUUUAUUUCUCAUGCCUGGCAACCUUAAGAUGCGUGUAAUUCCCCAGC